rnacentral:rRNA from 1 species
UACGUAGGGGUGCAAGCGUUAAUCGGAAUUACUGGGCGUAAAGCGUGCGCAGGCGGUGAUGUAAGACAGAUGUGAAAUCCCCGGGCUUACCACUGGGAACUGCAUUUGUGACUGCAAGGCUAGAGUGUGUCAGAGGGAGGUGGAAUUCCGCGUGUAGCAGUGAAAUGCGUAGAGAUGCGGAGGAACACCGAUGGCGAAGGCAGCCUCCUGGGAUA